GAUGAACGCUGGCGGCGUGCCUAAUACAUGCAAGUCGAGCGAACGGACGAGAAGCUUGCUUCUCUGAUGUUAGCGGCGGACGGGUGAGUAACACCUGGAUAACCUACCUAUAAGACUGGGAUAACUUCGGGAAACCGGAGCUAAUACCGGAUAAUAUUUUGAACCGCAUGGUUCAAAAGUGAAAGACGGUCUUGCUGUCACUUAUAGAUGGAUCCGCGCUGCAUUAGCUAGUUGGUAAGGUAACGGCUUACCAAGGCAACGAUGCAUAGCCGACCUGAGAGGGUGAUCGGCCACACUGGAACUGAGACACGGUCCAGACUCCUACGGGAGGCAGCAGUAGGGAAUCUUCCGCAAUGGGCGAAAGCCUGACGGGGCAACGCCGCGUGAGUGAUGAAGGUCUUCGGAUCGUAAAACUCUGUUAUUAGGGAAGAACAUAUGUGUAAGUAACUGUGCACAUCUUGACGGUACCUAAUCAGAAAGCCACGGCUAACUACGUG
rnacentral:rRNA from 1 species